rnacentral:rRNA from 1 species
GAAUGUUGGCAUUAGUAGCGAGAUGUAGGUGAGAAUCCUACAGGCCGAAUAUCUAAGGUUUCCUCAGGAAGGCUCGUCCGCUGAGGGUUAGUCGGGACCUAAGCCGAGGCCGAAAGGCGUAGGCGAUGGACAAUCGGUUGAUAUUCCGAUACCACUACCAUCGUUAUUAUCGAGGGUGUGACGGAGAAGGAUAGUGUGUGCUAGCGAUUGGAAAUGCUAGUCUAAGCGUUUAGGCAGUUACGGUAGGCAAAUCCGCUGUAAUAAUGCUGAGGCGUGAUGGGGAAGGCCCUUGAGGCUGAAGUACAUGAUUCCAUGCUUCCAAGAAAAGCAUCUAGAGAGAGAAGUAAUGCCCGUACCGCAAACCGACACAGGUAGAUGAGGAGAGAAUCCUAAGGCCGGCGGAAGAAUUGCAGUUAAGGAACUAGGCAAAUUGACCCCGUAAGUUCGCGAGAAGGGGUGCCUGCGAGAGCAGGCCGCAGAGAAUAGGCCCAAGCAACUGUUUAGCAAAAACACAGGUCUCUGCUAAAGCGCAAGCUGAUGUAUAGGGGCUGACGCCUGCCCGGUGCUGGAAGGUUAAGGGGAACACUUAGCGCAAGCGAAGGUGUGAACUUAAGCCCCAGUAAACGGCGGCCGUAACGAUAACGGUCCUAAGGUAGCGAAGUUCCUUGUCAGGUAAGUUCUGACCCGCACGAAUGGCGUAAUGACUUGGGCACUGUCUCAACUGCAAAUCCGGCGAAGUUGUAGUGCGAGUGAAGAUGCUCGCUACCCGCGAUUGGACGGAAAGACCCCGUAGAGCUUUACUGCAGCUUAGCAUUGAAUCUCGGUAUUGUCUGUACAGGAUAGGUGGGAGACUGGGAAACUAGGGCGUCAGCCUUAGUGGAGUCAACCUUGGGAUACCACCCUGACAGUACUGGGGUUCUAACAGGACGCCAUGAAUCUGGUGACUGGACAUUGUUAGGUGGGCAGUUUGACUGGGGCGGUCGCCUCCUAAAAAGUAACGGAGGCGCCCAAAGGUUCCCUCAGAACGGUCGGAAAUCGUUCGAAGAGUGCAAAGGCAGAAGGGAGCCUGACUGCGAGACCUACAAGUCGAGCAGGGACGAAAGUCGGGCUUAGUGAUCCGGUGGUACCUCGUGGGAGGGCCAUCGCUCAACGGAUAAAAGCUACCUCGGGGAUAACAGGCUGAUCUCCCCCAAGAGUCCACAUCGACGGGGAGGUUUGGCACCUCGAUGUCGGCUCGUCGCAUCCUGGGGCUGUAGCAGGUCCCAAGGGUUGGGCUGUUCGCCCAUUAAAGCGGCACGCGAGCUGGGUUCAGAACGUCGUGAGACAGUUCGGUCCCUAUCCGUCGCGGGCGUAGGAAAUUUGAGAGGAGCUGUCCUUAGUACGAGAGGACCGGGAUGGACUGACCUCUGGUGCACCAGUUGUUCCGCCAGGAGCAUGGCUGGGUAGCUAAGUCGGGAAGGGAUAAACGCUGAAAGCAUCUAAGCGUGAAGCCUACCUCAAGAUGAGAUUUCCCAUAGCAUAAGCUAGUAAGACCCCUUGAAGAACACAAGGUUGAUAGGUCAGAGGUGUAAGUGCAGUAAUGUAUUUAGCUGACUGAUACUAAUAGGUCGAGGGCUUGACCU